rnacentral:rRNA from 1 species
CCGACGCACGGGUGAGUAACACGUAUCCAACCUGCCGUCUACUCUUGGCCAGCCUUCUGAAAGGAAGAUUAAUCCAGGAUGGGAUCAUGAGUUCACAUGUCCGCAUGAUUAAAGGUAUUUUCCGGUAGACGAUGGGGAUGCGUUCCAUUAGAUAGUAGGCGGGGUAACGGCCCACCUAGUCAACGAUGGAUAGGGGUUCUGAGAGGAAGGUCCCCCACAUUGGAACUGAGACACGGUCCAA